CAGGUUCCUGCAGGUGGAAGCCUGAAAACACACAGGGGGCAGAGCUGGAGCAGGAAUAUAUAGGGGCUGGAAAUACUGGGAGAGUCAGGCUAAUGGGAAAAAAGGGGAAGCUUGACCAAAGAAGAAAAGCAAGCCCAGCAAGUCUCCAAGUGUCAAAAUCCUCUUUUAUUGAUGGCUCACUUCUGGAGUCUUUAUUUUAUUGGCUCUAUGCCUAACCUUGAUAAGAUUUUACCCUCACCAACAACUGCAACUCAGGCAUUUUAAAGACUGCUUCAUGAAUUAAACUAUUGUUCCUUAUAAAUAAACUCUAAUUCUUUUUUUUUCCUCAUACAUUAUUUAUUUCCUAGCUCUUUCUUCUGCUGCAGAGAAGUGAAAGGCAAAGAAGGAGGAGUACAGAAAGGAAGAGAAUGUAAGAAGGAUGUUUCAAAGAUGAUGGGAAGUACACGAUUGUUUUUUGACAAUGGUGAAAAUUCCCUUUCAUGACACAGAGCUGUUAGGGGGUAUUUCUUUCUUCUUUGACGUCCUCUUUGAAGUGCUGUGUUGCAAUAAUGCUGAUAUUAUGCUGCUCAGGCAUUAUUUAUGACUGCUGCUGGCAAAGCAGUUACUCCAUUUUCCAAGCCAAGCUGCAGUGAAAAUUUUGGCAGCAAUCAAAGAAGAACCUCCAAAAAUAUGUAAGUGAAAUAAGUAAGAUUUCAGUCGUUUAGACAUUAUCAACUGGAAAAGGUGAACAGACAAACUGUUACUUUUAUUAAUUUCUUUACACUGU
rnacentral:lncRNA from 1 species